rnacentral:tRNA from 1 species
GUGGCUCAGUUGCUAGAGCGCUUGCCUGGUGUGCAAGAGGCUCUGAGUUCGAUCCCAAGC